GAUGAACGCUGGCGGCGUGCCUAAUACAUGCAAGUCGAGCGAACGGACGAGAAGCUUGCUUCUCUGAUGUUAGCGGCGGACGGGUGAGUAACACGUGGAUAACCUACCUAUAAGACUGGGAUAACUUCGGGAAACCGGAGCUAAUACCGGAUGAUAUUUUGAACCGCAUGGUUCAAAAGUGAAAGACGGUCUUGCUGUCACUUAUAGAUGGAUCCGCGCUGCAUUAGCUAGUUGGUAAGGUAGCGGCUUACCAAGGCAACGAUGCAUAGCCGACCUGAGAGGGUGAUCGGCCACACUGGAACUGAGACACGGUCCAGACUCCUACGGGAGGCAGCAGUAGGGAAUCUUCCGCAAUGGGCGAAAGCCUGACGGAGCAACGCCGCGUGAGUGAUGAAGGUCUUCGGAUCGUAAAACUCUGUUAUUAGGGAAGAACAUAUGUGUAAGUAACUGUGCACAUCUUGACGGUACCUAAUCGGAAAGCCACGGCUAACUACGUG
rnacentral:rRNA from 1 species